AACGAACGCUGGCGGCAUGCCUAACACAUGCAAGUCGAACGAAGUCUUCGGACUUAGUGGCGCACGGGUGCGUAACGCGUGGGAAUCUGCCCUUGGGUGCGGAAUAACUUCUCGAAAGGGAUGCUAAUACCGCAUAAUGUCGUAAGACCAAAGAUUUAUCGCCCAAGGAUGAGCCCGCGUAAGAUUAGCUAGUUGGUGGGGUAAAAGCCUACCAAGGCGACGAUCUUUAGCUGGUCUGAGAGGAUGAUCAGCCACACUGGGACUGAGACACGGCCCAGACUCCUACGGGAGGCAGCAGUGGGGAAUAGUUGCGCAAUGGGCGAAAGCCUGACGCAGCGACGCCGCGUGGGUGAUGAAGGCCUU
rnacentral:rRNA from 1 species